rnacentral:rRNA from 1 species
ACUGAACGCUGGCGGCAUGCUUUACACAUGCAAGUCGAGCGGCAGCGCGGGGGCAACCCUGGUGGCGAGCGGCGAACGGGUGAGUAAUGCAUCGGAACGUAUCCUCGAGUGGGGGAUAACCCAGCGAACGCUGGCCUAAUACCGCAUGAGCUCUGAGGAGGAAAGCGGGGGACCUGCGAGGGCCUCGCCCUGGCAGAGCGGCCGAUGUCCGAUUAGCUAGUUGGUGGGGUAACGGCAUACCAAGGCGACGCUCGGUAGCUGGUCUGAGAGGAUGAUCAGCCCCACUGGCACUGAGACACGGCCCGGACCCCAACGGGAGGCAGCAGUGGGGAAUUUUGGCCAAUGGGGUCAGCCCUGCUCCAGCCAUGCCGCGUGAGUGAAGAGGGCCUUCGGGUUGUAAAGCUCUUUCGGACGGAACGAAAUGGGCGGGACUAAUACUCCUGUCUGAUGACGGUACCGUAAGAAGAAGCUCGGGCUAACUACGUG